rnacentral:lncRNA from 1 species
CAACACAAUUUCUACAUAUAAUAAGCUAGAGCAUUUCUUAUUUAAUAAACAAAAAUUAAAGGAACUAUGAAAAGUACAACUUGAAAAAUAUCAAAUAAACAGAGAGGGAGAAAAACCAUGUUUUUUUAAUUUUUUUGUGACCAGUGGUCUAUCAGUAAUAAACCAUCUUGGUUAUCUUUAGAGAAUCUGAGAUGAUGAUAGAGAAUUUUGUAAUUAAAGAGCUGAGGGGCAGCUCAGAUGUCAGUGACUUUUCUAUCAUUCUGAAGGCCUUGUAAUUGAUUCCUAACAUUGAUUAAAAAAUAAAAAUCAAAAACCUGGUUUCUAAGAUAACAGAUGAAACAAAAGUGCUUCAUCCUAAUAUUUUAAAUUAUCAAUAAGGAAACUAAAAAGUAGUGAUAAAGAUAUUUUAGGUAAAUAACAGAAUAGCUAUGCAGCGCCUGUUAAUGGUGAGUGCUUAACUGUGGAUAUAUUUGAAGGCAGCAGUUAUCUUUUGCUAUAUAAAUUAUGAAUAUACAAAUGGGUAAUACAUAUAUAUUCAAUAUAUUCAAAAAGACAGUACGCAUAUCUGACUAUAUGAUUUUAAAACAUUAAAACUAACAGAGUGGACACACCUUUCAUGAAAAUUGUUUUGAAAACUGUACAACGGAAGCUCACCUAACUACCCCAAGUUUGGAUAAUUGCAACUCAACAAUAUGAAAUUCAAAAACAGGUCUCCCAUUUUGUUCUUAUCACAAGUGAGUAUAGGCAAGUCCUCAUUAGUCUCUCUCCUUCCUCCUUGUUCUCGUUCUGUCUUAUGAAGCACAUAUGGAUGUUAACACUAUGGCUUCUGAGGCCAUCAGAAGGAAGUUUGUUAGCUCUUCUUGGGUUCUUUAAACAACUCAUCUUUCAAGGUUCCAUUGGAACCUUGCUGUCUGUUAGGCCUGACAGGUUCAACUGUCCUGGUAACAUCAUUAUGACUAGUCAAUGUCAGUUCCUAGGCAUCUGCUCCUGCCACAUUGGUGCACAGCACUAUUUAGGCUUCAGGAGCCUGACUUCAAUCACUGACUACACCCAGAUGAGAUACCCUGAGCACGAACUGACUGCACUCAACAGCACAGAAAUGUAUGAAAUGCUCCAUGUCGUCACAGAGGCAUGUGCUUCCCAUCGAGAGACAAGGUUUGGCACUUUCUCUUCUUCCAGAAAUACAACUCAUAUUCAGCUUUGA